ACAUACCUAAAACGUUGCUUCGGCGGGAACAGACGGCCCUGUAACAACGGGCCGCCCCCGCCAGAGGACCCCUAACUCUGUUUUUAUAAUGUUUUUCUGAGUAAACAAGCAAAUAAAUUAAAACUUUCAACAACGGAUCUCUUGGCUCUGGCAUCGAUGAAGAACGCAGCGAAAUGCGAUAAGUAAUGUGAAUUGCAGAAUUCAGUGAAUCAUCGAAUCUUUGAACGCACAUUGCGCCCGCCAGUAUUCUGGCGGGCAUGCCUGUUCGAGCGUCAUUACAACCCUCAGGCCCCCGGGCCUGGCGUUGGGGAUCGGCGGAAGCCCCCUGUGGGCACACGCCGUCCCUCAAAUACAGUGGCGGUCCCGCCGCAGCUUCCAUUGCGUAGUAGCUAACACCUCGCAACUGGAGAGCGGCGCGGCCAUGCCGUAAAACACCCAACUUCUGAAUGUUGACCUCGAAUCAGGUAGGAAUACCCGCUGAACUUAAGCAUAUCAAU
rnacentral:rRNA from 1 species